GGGUCAGUAGGUUGGUCGUGCCACCGGUACGUACUGGUCUCACUGAUUCCUCCUUCCUGAAGAACCGUAAUGCCAUUAAUUGGGUGUUGCGGGGAAACAGGACUGUUACUUUUAAAAAAUUAGAGUGUCUAAAGCAAGCUAACGCUUGAAUACAUUAGCAUGGAAUAAUGAAAUAGGACGAUCGAUCCUAUUUUGUUGGUUUCUAGGAUUGACGUA
rnacentral:rRNA from 1 species